ACUACGGGGGGCAGCAGUGGGGGAUAUUGCACAAUGGGGGGAACCCUGAUGCAGCGACGCCGCGUGGGUGAAGGAGUGCUUCGGCAUGUAAAGCCCUAUCGGCAGGGAAGAAGCAAGACGGUACCUGACUAAGAAGCCCCGGCUAACUACGUGCCAGCAGCCGCGGUAAUACGUAGGGGGCGAGCGUUAUCCGGAUUCACUGGGUGUAAAGGGAGCGUGGACGGCCAGGCAAGCCAGGGGUGAAAGCCCGGGGCCCAACCCCGGGACUGCCCUUGGAACUGCAUGGCUGGAGUGCGGGAGGGGCAGGCGGAAUUCCUGGUGUAGCGGUGAAAUGCGUAGAUAUCAGGAGGAACACCGGCGGCGAAGGCGGCCUGCUGGACCGCGACUGACGUUGAGGCUCGAAAGCGUGGGGAGCAAACAGGAUUAGAUACCCUAGUAGUC
rnacentral:rRNA from 1 species